AUUGAACGCUGGCGGCAGGCCUAACACAUGCAAGUCGAGCGGAUAAAGGGGGCGUUCUCCUGGAUUCAGCUGCGGACGGGUGAGUAAUGCCUAGGAAUCUGCCUGGUAGUGGGGGAUAACGUCCGGAAACGGGCGCUAAUACCGCAUACGUCCUGAUGUAGAAAGGGGGGGAUCUUCGGACCUCACGCUAUCAGAUGAGCCUAGUUCGGAUUAGCUAGUUGGUGGGGUAAAGGCCUACCAAGGCGACGAUCCGUAACUGACCUGAGAGGAUGAUCAGUCACACUGGAACUGAGACACGGUCCAGACUCCUACGGGAGGCAGCAGUGGGGAAUAUUGGACAAUGGGCGAAAGCCUGAUCCAGCCAUGCCGCGUGUGUGAAGAAGGUCUUCGGAUUGUAAAGCACUUUAAGUUGGGAAGAAGGGAAGUAAGUUAAUCCCUUGCUGUUUUGACGUUACCAACAGAAUAAGCACCGGCUAACUUCGUG
rnacentral:rRNA from 1 species